UACAGAGGGGGCAAGCGUUGUUCGGAAUUACUGGGCGUAAAGGGCGCGUAGGCGGCCUUCUAAGUCGAACGUGAAAUCCCCGGGCUCAACCCGGGAACUGCGUCCGAUACUGAAAGGCUUGAAUCCGGGAGAGGGAUGUGGAAUUCCAGGUGUAGCGGUGAAAUGCGUAGAUAUCUGGAGGAACACCGGUGGCGAAGGCGGCAUCCUGGACCGGUAUUGACGCUGAGGCGCGAAAGCUAGGGGAGCAAACGGG
rnacentral:rRNA from 1 species